rnacentral:rRNA from 1 species
GUAGGGGGCAAGCGUUAUCCGGAUUUACUGGGUGUAAAGGGAGCGUAGACGGCAUGGCAAGUCUGAUGUGAAAGGCAGGGGCUCAACUCCUGGACUGCAUUGGAAACUGCCAGGCUUGAGUGCCGGAGGGGUAAGCGGAAUUCCUAGUGUAGCGGUGAAAUGCGUAGAUAUUAGGAGGGACACCAGUGGCGAAGGCGGCUUACUGGACGGUAACUGACGUUGAGGCUCGAAAGCGUGGGGAGC